GGCGGCGUAGCUCAGUUGGUCAGAGCACACGGUUCAUACCCGUGGUGUCCGGGGUUCAAGUCCCUGCGCCGCUACCA
rnacentral:tRNA from 3 species